rnacentral:lncRNA from 1 species
CACUUUUAUUUUAUCAAAUAAAAGAUAUUUCCUAUUUUGAUAAAAAGUAACCACCUCAAACAUUAUUCUUAAUCACAAUAGAGAGAAUAUACUUUUUACGGAUGAGAGAAAAAAAUACAAGCUGCAAUUUCUAUUUUAAUGGAAUAAUAUAAAAAAACUAUAAAUCUUGGAAGAACGGCUAAAAUUCGUUAUCUUCAGACAAUGGGAUUGUCUGCUUAUGAAACAGCACAGAAAACAUUUACCAGCUUAGUUUUGCUUCCUUAAACAGGUAGUUGAACAACCAAACCUUGUUCAAUAACAGAGACAGCACUGCGCAUGAGCUAGGUGGGAACCCAUAGCCCCAGGAUGACCCUGGAACAAAGAAUCUUCCACCUGAGCCCUUUAGAAGCUAGAAAUCCUUCAGCAAAGAAACUCUGGCUGCCAGCAGCUUGAUUACCAUAUAUGGACUGAUCCGAGAUUAGUCAAUCAGCUUCCAUGGGCCCAGCUGUAGCUACACAGCCCCCAACUUCUUAAAUUGCACUCUAACCUUGGAUCAGAGAGACAGACUUGAGAGCCUAGCUCCUUGCCAGCUGACCUCGCAACGAAGGUUUUUCUCGCUCAAAAGCUGGUGCCAUAAUAUUGGCUUCUGUGUGCGUCAGGCAGUGGGCCCUUGCUUAGUAGCACUUAGGCUUAAAUAAUUAAUUAACAAACUACAAGAAUUAAUAAGAUUAUGGGGCUGGCCCCGUGGCCGAGUGGUUAAGUUCGCGCGCUCCGCUGCAGGCGGCCCAGUGUUUCGUUAGUUCGAAUCCUGGGCGCGGACAUGGCACUGCUCAUCAGACCACGCUGAGGCAGCGUCCCACAUGCCACAACUAGAAGAAUACACAACUAUGUACCGGGGGGCUUUGGGGAGAAAAAGGAAAAAAUAAAAUCUUAAAAAAAAAAAAAAAAAAAGAAUUAAUAAGAUUAAAGUGGUAUGUCAAGAUAAGAGGGGCAAAUCAUCAAUGUGUCCUUUCAUACCUGCAACAAGCAACCGGAAGCUUUAAAAAUGUGUGCUUUCAGAAAAAACAAAAAUUUUAAAUUCCAAAGUAAAUAUGUAAAAACAUAAAAAUGAACAAUAAGAGUUGACUAAAAUAUAGCAAGAGUUCACAAGUCAGAAAAUUAGGCUUCAUCUACAGCCCCUCUCCCUUACUCCUCCUGGCUAAUCCAUGACCAUGCUGUCUCAACUUUACCUUCCAAACGAUUCCCAAAUCUCCCUGUUUCUCUCCAUU